GUCUAUCGGGAGGGAUCCGAAAAGCACAGUGGGAGGGCGGGGGCACAGUGGGGAAGGAAAGGAGCCGGACCAGAUGCAGCAGUGAGCAGCUGGGGCUCCAUCUUGUUGUUGGGGGGCCAGGAGCGGCAGUUGUAGACAGCCCGCAAACCUUGACUCCCAUUUGCUGUUGGAGGGCAGCUCCUGGGGUGUAAACUCCCAGCACUUCCAGCCUGCCCUGUGCCCUGGCUUCUGGCAUGGCCCUCCUCCCAGAUUCAUGGGCACCAUCUCUGCACACCUGUUAGCUCAUACCUGGUCUUCUAUUCAUGUGUGAACAGAUACUCACGGCAGGCCUUCAUGUGCCAGACCAGGGUUCAGGGCAGCGAGGCAUACAUCCCUGCCUGCAGGAGGCUUACCCGCUUCAUCCGGAAGUUUCCGCAAAGCCAAGAAGGAUCUGAAAGCAUGGGGCAAGGAUGAGGAGGAGGUGAACAAAGGCCAGGCAGCACUGAGAUCUGACAGACUGGUGUCUGCUCAAGAGAAUUCAAACAGGCGCUCAGACAGAUGCCAUAGCAGCAUUAUCCACGAUAGCCAGAGGCUGGACACUACCAAGGGUCUGUCACUGAUGAACAGAUAAACAGCGUAGUCCAUGCAUCCCGUGUGGAAAGGAAAGACGUUCUGAGUCCCACCGCAGCCUGGCGUGGAAACUGUGAGGCAAUCAUAAAUAUGACGGCAUGUUGUGAUUCCAUCCUGGCGCCCAGAGAAGCAGCAAGGCCUUGUACACAGAGCUGGAGGGGUGCAAGAGGGAGCCUCCCUGGCCGGUCCCUGAGCUCGCCUAAACCACAGCCUGAGAUCCGGCAUGCCCUACGCACUGUCUGCUUCCUGUCCUGGAAUCUCUGUCAUCUGG